rnacentral:rRNA from 1 species
UACGUAGGGUGCGAGCGUUGUCCGGAAUUAUUGGGCGUAAAGAGCUUGUAGGCGGUUUGUCGCGUCUGCCGUGAAAAUCCGAGGCUCAACCUCGGACUUGCGGUGGGUACGGGCAGACUAGAGUGUGGUAGGGGAGACUGGAAUUCCUGGUGUAGCGGUGAAAUGCGCAGAUAUCAGGAGGAACACCGAUGGCGAAGGCAGGCUCUGGGCCACUACUGACGCUGAGAAGCGAAAGCAUGGGGAGCGAACAGG